rnacentral:sRNA from 1 species
UGCAUACCAACUGCCUUUAUGCUUUGAG